rnacentral:rRNA from 1 species
GACGAACGCUGGCGGCGUGCUUAACACAUGCAAGUCGAGCGAGACCCCGCUUUCGGGUGGGUGUUCUAGCGGCGAACGGGUGAGUAACACGUGGGCAACCUGCCCUCAGCUCUGGGAUAACUCCAAGAAAUUGGGGCUAAUACCGGAUAUGACCGCUGACCGCAUGGUCUGGUGGUGGAAAGAUUUAUCGGCUGGGGAUGGGCCCGCGGCCUAUCAGCUUGUUGGUGGGGUAGUGGCCUACCAAGGCGACGACGGGUAGCCGGCCUGAGAGGGUGACCGGCCACACGGGGACUGAGACACGGCCCAGACUCCUACGGGAGGAAGCAGUGGGGAAUAUUGCGCAAUGGGCGAAAGCCUGACGCAGCGACGCCGCGUGGGGGAUGACGGCCUUCGGGUUGUAAACCUCUUUCAGCAGGGACGAAGCGAAAGUGACGGUACCUGCAGAAGAAGCACCGGCCAACUACGUGCCAGCAGCCGCCGCCG